GCUUGAAUAGCAAAGAAAGUUAAUGCUUGAGAUUUAGGAUUUCACACCGAAGGUUCAAUUCCUUCUUUAAGCU
rnacentral:tRNA from 1 species